CCCUUAGAUGUCCUGGGCCGCACGCGCGUUACACUGAUGCAUUCAACGAGCUUAUAACCUUGGCCGAGAGGCCUGGGCAAUCUUGUUAACGUGCAUCGUGAUAGGGAUAGAUUAUUGAAAUUAUUAAUCCUGAACGAGGAAUUCCUAGUAAACGCAGAUCAUCAAUCUGCAUUGAUUACGUCCCUGCCCUUUGUACACACCGCCCGUCGCACCUACCGAUUGGAUGGUCCGGUGAAGCCUCGGGAUUGUGGUUCUUGCCGCUUUAUUGUGGCGCGACCGCGAGAACUUGUCUAAACCUUAUCAUCUAGAGGAAGGUGAAGUCGUAACA
rnacentral:rRNA from 1 species